AGGUUAAUCACCGUCAUGUGUGUAAUCCUUGUCACCUUUAUUUCCAUACAUGGUCAUUUGUUACAAUAGUGGAAAUCCAUAAUAAAUAAGCACCAUAGAUGAUCCGCAGAGCAAUAACAAACAUUUAACCUUCGUCAUGAGACAUAUAGGAGAAAAGUAAAAGGCUGUUGGAAUCAAAGAGUUAGACCAGCGUGUACAUGUGCAAAUGAAGUCAAUAUAACAACACUGUAUUUUAGCUCUUUAAAAAAUGGUCACAUUGCCCAACCAAAAGCACGCUUUCACAUAUAAUUGUACUGCCUAAGGGGCCCUUCGGGGAUUGACUGUUACUAGUUACACCUCUCGAUGUUCUGAUUAACGGUAAGAUGCUGAAGAUAACGUUCUCACAAAACUCAGUAGUACUCACUCAUCUUGGGAGCAGACAUUUGAGUGUUACAGUGAGUUUGAUGCUUUCUCUAUUGUUUACAAUUUUCUAUCGGGCUGGUUUGAUCAACGACACAUUACAUUCACUAUAAAGAUACAUUCUUAAUGCAAAACUUCCAUUCAAUUCACAAUUCACUUUCACAAGAAUUGGCACCUUCGAGGGACUCAUCAGCAUCAGCAGUUUAUUCCAUAUGUCUUUUAAAAAAGCUAUUAUGGAGAAGUAUAUGCACCACAUCUGUGGACAAGCAAGCAACACUUCAUUUUUCCUAGUUCAGAACACUUCCCUGAAGGCACAACCAGGAAACUCCAUUGUUUCUUUGAGGGCAGUGUUCAGCUUCGUGUGCCAAAAUCAACAUGGCUUCCAGGCAGGCCAUUCUGAUCUCUCGUGAGCGAACUGAGGCGGUCUAGCUUUGGUAUUUUACUGUGUACUGUAAAUGGACUUCAUGUACUGAGGCACAUAUCCCGUGUGCUAAGCUGAAAAGAACCUGUUAUAUUAUCUGUACAUUAAAGGUAUGUUGACAUCAGUGAGGAUCAGAGCGAACCAAAGAUUGAGGCUUUGCCAUCAAAUGAGUUCGGGAACCAUGUCGAUGGUGACGAGAGGCACUGGAAGAGCCUGAGGAUAAAAGAAGAGCUAUGGCAGAAGUCCCAUCUGUUAAUGCGUUUGCUUUUUUUUUCCCCUCUGAAAAGAAACUGUUUGGAAAGAGUAGUUUUCUUAAACCUGCCUUUGUGUUGCAAUAUACAAAUUGAACCUCCUAAAGCUACCACUGUAGUUAAGGAGUCAGUUUACCCAAAUAGUACAAAAUACUCGUAAUUAGAAGUUAUAAGCUACUCAAAAACUUUCAUUUGCCCAGAUUUGAAGAUAUACAGUACAUGAAUGGGAUUUUGGCCAGCACUAACCUAGUAUAAUUUCAGUGUCUGGUGUUUAAAAGAUUAAAAUGAUAUUUAAAAAGGGUCAAUUUGUAAAAGUUACAGUUCUUUUUUAGAAACUAACAUUUUCAAAUUCUGAAACAGAAAAGCGUUUGCUAGCUUCCUCUACAGCCUAAACUGACCCUGCAGUAUAAGACACUGUUUGACAUUUUGGGAAGUGUAUUUGCUUUCUUGCCAAGUUUUAGCUAAAAAGUCCAAUAUCAUCAUGCAUACUAACGCUAGACAUAGCUACCUCGGGUUAGCAUGAAAACCACAACCUAAUAUUUUCUUAAUAUUUCAGUUUUUAAGUGCCCAGAAAAUGAAAUUAUAUAUGUUAAUCAAUUAGCUUUGCAAGUGUCAGUGAAGUUUUUAUAUAUAAACAGUACUAGGCCACCAUUUUAACUUCUGUUACGCUAGGCUAAUUGGUUAGCUACCUUUAUCAAACGAGCCAUUUCUAGCAAUUUCUGACCAAAAAAUCUAUGUAUGGGGCCAAAAUGCUUUUUGAGGUGUAUGAUGAAGGAAACUACGGAGCCCCGCAGGGGACAUGGGAGAAAAAAAAA
ensembl:lncRNA